rnacentral:rRNA from 1 species
AGCAGCCGCGGUAAUUCCAGCUCCAAUAGCGUAUAUUAAAGUUGUUGCAGUUAAAAAGCUCGUAGUUGAAUUUCGGGAUCAAUAUAUCGGUCGUGCCUUCGGUACGUACUGGUAUCGUUGAUUUCUACCUUCUGACGAACCAUGAUGUCAUUAAUUUGGUGUCAUGGGAAAUCAGGACUGUUACUUUGAAAAAAUUAGAGUGUUUAAAGCAGGCACACGCUUGAAUACAUUAGCAUGGAAUAAUGAAAUAGGACGUUUGACCCUAUUUUGUUGGUUUCUAGGAUCGACGUAAUGAUUAAUAGGGAUAGUUGGGGGCAUUAGUAUUCAAUUGUCAGAGGUGAAAUUCUUGGAUUUAUUGAAGACUAACUACUGCGAAAGCAUUUGCCAAGGAUGUUUUCAUUAAUCAAGAACGAAAGUUAGGGGAUCGAAGACGAUCAGAUACCGUCGUAGUCUUAACCAUAAACUAUGCCGACUAGGGAUCGGAUGAUGUUAAUUUUUUAAUGUACUCAUUCGCGUACCG